rnacentral:tRNA from 1 species
GUGUUGGUGAUUCAGUGGGAGAAUUCUUACCUUCCAUGCUGGAGACCCAGGUUCAUUUCCCGGCCAGUACA